UUCAUAAGUUGGGGGAGCUUGUGACACAGGCUGAGAAACCCGAAAAAACGGGAGACCCAUUGAAAACCUGAUCUGGAUAAUGCCAGCGGAGGGAAAAGAUUAUGAAAAAAA
rnacentral:ncRNA from 2 species